CACGGAGUUAGCCGGGGCUUCUUCGGGGGGUACCGUCUGUAUCUUCCCCCCCAAAAGGAGUUUACAACCCGAAGGCCGUCGUCCUCCACGCGGCGUUGCUCCCUCAGGCUCUCGCCCAUUGGGGAAAAUUCCUUG
rnacentral:rRNA from 1 species